UUUUUUAAACAUAUUUAUCUAUGAACGCUGUUAUCUGUCUACUAAAUGUUGUCACAAGCAAAAUUACAGAUAAAAACACAUUGGCGCGCAUUUUUUGCGGCGUGAGAGCGACUGCUGAAAAGUUUAGCCUGUUGCCUCGUGAAGUGACGUCAAAAUGACGUCACAUUGUCGCGGAAGAUUUGUUGUCACCAGCCAUCUUAGUUCAAGCACACUCUUGAUAUAUUACAACCAAGUGAUUGUGCAGCAACGGGAACUGGACAGAUGAUCUGUGAAUUCGGAUAAGCAAGGGGGAAAAUGUUACACGACCAUUCCAGGAGAUAAAAUCAAGAAUGUUGAAUCAUUGAGGAACACACCAAAUACACCCUGGGCUGUGAAUUAUGUUAACGGAAGUGGAAGUGAACACCAAAGAAAGAAGAUUCUGGCAUUCAAUAAUUUCGAAUAGUGUAUAAAUUUUCUAUAAUCUAAAAAUAAUAAAAUGUUAACGCAAAUGUGUCUUGGAGUUCUUUGUUGAAUGGUGACUUCGCAUGACUGAAAGUUGAAGUAUACUAUAUGGACUUGAUUAGAGACCGACCAUUUAAUAUUCAAGGAGGUGGGGACCUGGAACUUUUCUAUUGAGAUUACAUAUGUUUUC